rnacentral:rRNA from 1 species
GACGAACGCUGGCGGCGUGCUUAACACAUGCAAGUCGAACGGAAAGGCCCUGCUUUUGUGGGGUGCUCGAGUGGCGAACGGGUGAGUAACACGUGAGUAACCUGCCCUUGACUUUGGGAUAACUUCAGGAAACUGGGGCUAAUAACGGAUAGGAGCUCCUGCUGCAUGGUGGGGGUUGGAAAGUUUCGGCGGUUGGGGAUGGGCUCGCGGCUUAUCAGCUUGUUGGUGGGGUAGUGGCUUACCAAGGCUUUGACGGGUAGCCGGCCUGAGAGGGUGACCGGCCACAAUGGGACUGAGGUACGGCCCAGACUCCUACGGGAGGCAGCGGUGGGGAAUAUUGCACAAUGGGCGGAAGCCUGAUGCAGCAACGCCGCGUGCGGGAUGACGGCCUUCGGGUUGUAAACCGCUUUCGCCUGUGACGAAGCGUGAGUGACGGUAAUGGGUAAAGAAGCACCGGCUAACUACGUG